UACGUAGGGGGCAAGCGUUGUCCGGAUUUACUGGGCGUAAAGCGCGUGUAGGCGGAAGCUUAAGUGGGGCCUGAAAGCCCCCGGCUCAACCGGGGAGGGCGGUCCCAUACUGGGCUUCUGGAGGGCGCUAGAGGAGUGUGGAAUUCCUGGUGUAGCGGUGAAAUGCGUAGAGAUCAGGAGGAACACCCAUGGCGAAGGCAGCACUCUGGAGCGGCCCUGACGCUGAGACGCGAAAGCGUGGGGAGCGAACGGG
rnacentral:rRNA from 1 species